GUGCGCGCUCCAGGGCAGGCAGCAGCGUGUCCAGGGCGUCAGCCACCAGGUCAUGCGUGGGUGGGCGAGGUCCGGCCAGUAAUAGCACAAAUCCCAAGCGUAGGGGUGGCACGAGCGCCAGGCUGGCGGCAUAGCCGUCCAAGUCGCCAUCCUUGCGCGCCACGCGAUAUCCGAGCCUCUCGUGGAACUCCCAGGGUGUACCGGUUUCACUAGCAAAGUAGCCGUGGGUACAGGCAUUGCUGCUGGUUUGUGUUUGCUAUCCUGGCUCUACCGAACUGGACCGCUGCUGUGUCCUUGAAGUGUUUGCAAGCGAAUGGAGCUGCCACUGCCUGCUGACCUGUGAACCGAGCUGCUGAUUUCCAGACCACACAGACGGGAGUUGCUCCAAAGAACCUUUUUAAACAGAACACUCUGGGAAGGGCAACAAACAGAACCUGACUUCAGCUCCGCACCUUCCAGCUCUGGACAAAUGACUUCACCUCUUGGACCUGACAACUGCCCCUCCCUUGGGGAGAGCUCAGGCAUGGACAAUCCAGCUCCUUGAGGAUUCCAGCCUGCAGCCCAGGAGACCCUGAGGACAGGAAACUGAGAGGAGCAAAUGCAAGAAGAAGUGGGAACAGUGGGGAGACAGGAACCAGAGAGAUGGCUUAGAGAAUCUCUCAGUGGGACUUGGGUGCUCACCGAUUUGUUUUGAAUGGCUGACCAGCAAACCCCAGGGUUUCUCCUGUCUCCACCUCCCCAGUGCUGGGAUUACAAGAGGACACCACCACAUCUAGCUUUUUACAAGAAUCAAUCUCACGUUCUUGUGCUUGCAUGAUUCAUUGGAACAUGGUCAAACUCCAGUGGCCAGCACCUUAUAGAUAAGUGAGUCCUUGCCCAUCACCCCACCAGAAGCCGUCAAAAACAAAGAGCUACGCUUCAGCAAUAUCUUUAUCACGAUUUUAAAGGACUCUCUUUAGUAGCCUUCUGUCUAGACUGUUUCUUUUUUUGGGGAGAGAGGAAGAAUGGAUGUUGCAGAAGCCUUCAAUUGUCUCUCAUUUUCAACGAUGGGUCCGGUAGCAUUGAUACCUCUGCAGAAGAAGCUCCCUUGUCCAUAAGAGUCAGCAGCAGCACAGAUCAUGGACUUCCGCAUGGUUCCUCCAGCGACUGCAUGGACGAUGGUCCCCGCAUGGAUCGUGACCCCAGCAUGGAUCAUGGAGAUCAACAUGGUCCUUGGUGUCAUUAAGGACCACAGACAUUAACAUGGCCCUUGGUGGCAGCACAGACCAUGGACAUCCACAUCCACUCCAGCUGCAGCACAGAAAAUGGACUGCAACAUGGUCCUGGGUGGCAACAAGGACCACGGACAUCUACACAGUCCCUGGUGGCGACACAGAUCACCGAUGCCAACAUGGCCUCUGGUAGCAACACAGUCUAUGAGCAUCAGCGUGGCCUGCAGGGGCAGCACAGGACCACAGACACCAGCACAGCCCCUAGCUGUAGCAUGGGCCAUAUAUAGCAACAUGGCUCCUAGCGGCGGUGGCAGCAUGGACCAUGGAGGUUUUUCAAGGAAGUCCAAUCUAGACUAGGAACCAUUCUUUAUCUCAGACAGAGCAUUUGGGGCAGAGCUUCCACAAGCUCCAGACUGCUGGAGUAGGGUACUUUCUUAAUUAGUGAUUGAUGGGGAAUUGAUGGGGAAAGGGACCAGCCAAUUGUGGGUAGCACCAUCCCUGGGCUGGUGGUCCUGGGUUCUAUAGGCAAGCAGGAUGAGCAAGCCAGAGAAAGCAAGCCAGUAAGCAGCACCCUUUCAUGGCCUCUGCAUCAGCUCCUGCCUCCAGGUUCCUGCCCUGUGUGAGUUCCUGUCCUGACUUCCUUUGAUGAUGAACAGGGGCCACAUCAAUUCCACAAGUGGAGCCAAAUAAACCCUUUCCUGCCCAAGUUGCUUUUGGUUGUGGUGUUUCAUCACAGCAACAGUAACCCUGAGGUGCUUUUUGCUUUGUAUUAUUUAUUUUUUUCGGAGCUGGGGCCCGAACCUAGGGCCUUGCGCUUGCUAGGCAAGUGCUCUACCACUGAGCUAAAUCCCCAACCCUGUUUUAUUUUUUUGAGACAGGUAUUUCCAUGCAGCUAGGCUGGUCUAGAAUGUGUGGCCCUCGCGCCUCUGGCUCCUGGAUGCUGGGAUUACAGGCGUGCGCUACCUUACCUGGCAGAGGUUAACUUUUUUUUUUUUUUUUGGUUCUUUUUUUCGGAGCUGGGGACCGAACCCAGGGCCUUGCGCUUCCUAAGCAAUCGCUCUACCACUGAGCUAAAUCCCCAACCCCAGAGGUUAACUUUUGAAAAGUGGAUAAGUUAGUUGCCUCACUUGAGAAUGCCCUCAGAGAAUUGGAAGAGUCACCCUUUAAACAUUUUUAAACAACCAUGCACCAUUCAUUCUUUGUUUACUUACGUAUUGCAUACUGAGGAUUGGAUCUUGGGCCUCAUGCAUGCUAGACCAGUGUGUGUGUGUGUGUGUGUGUGUGUGUGUGUGUGUGUGGUGUUAAUGAGGUGGCCCAAUCAGUAAACUUGAUGAACUGAGUUUGGUCUUUGGGAUCCCUUUUGGAAAGGGAGAACUGAACUCUGUGAAUUGCCUUUGACUUCCAUACCUAUGCUGUAGCACCUCCCACAUAUACUAAAAUUAAAAAAAAAAUCCUUUGUUUAUCCUUUAUUUAUUUUGAGACAGGAUCUUCUGUUAAUAGCUCUGGAUGUCCUGGAACUUACUCUGUAGACCAGGCUGGCCUCAAAUUCACAGAGAUCCGCCUGCCUCUGUCCCCCCCCCCCCCAAGCGAUUGGAUUAAAGGCACCAGGCUUUAAAAGCUUUUAAAAAUAAGGAAAAAUAUUGAAAGUCCAGAAAGUCUGAAGCAAUCAACUAUGCGUUGAUAAAUGAAUGGAUAAAUAAACUAUGGGGAGUUGGAGAUGUAGGCCAGGUGGUACGGUGCUUGCCUAGAGUGAUGGUUCAUUUUAGUGACAGGACCUCCUGGGAAUUGGGCCUGGGACAUGCCUGGGGGGGAGUGUCUUCACUGAAGUGGGAAAACUGGCCAGGUCUCCCAGGAUUCCAGCUCUCCCAGGAUUCCUUUCCUGUUUAAGACAGAGAAAGGAAGCUGAGUAGCACAUGCCUCCAUCACUCCAUGCUUCCUGAUUGUGGAUAUGAUGCGACCAGCUCGCCCUAGCUACUGCUGCCUUGGCUCCUCUACUGUGACGGUGUACCUUGAAGUAUAAGCUAGUUCAGAUUCAUAAAGACAGGGGCAGAACAGUGACAACCAGGCAUUAGGGGGAAGGGAGAGUAACAGGCUUACAUCUUUUUUUUUUUUUUUUGGUUCUUUUUUUUUGGAGCUGGGGACGGAACCCAGGGCCUUGUGCUUCCUAGGCAAGCACUCUACCACUGAGCUAAAUCCAACUCCCAGGCUUACAUCUUUUUACACGAUAUAUUGCCUAUUUAUUGU